UACGUAGGGCGCAAGCGUUGUCCGGAAUUAUUGGGCGUAAAGAGCUCGUAGGCGGCCUGUUGCGUCCGCUGUGAAAUCCCGGGGCUCAACCCCGGGCCUGCAGUGGAUACGGGCUGGCUAGAGGCAGGCAGGGGAGAACGGAAUUCCUGGUGUAGCGGUGAAAUGCGCAGAUAUCAGGAGGAACACCGGUGGCGAAGGCGGUUCUCUGGGCCUGUACUGACGCUGAGGAGCGAAAGCGUGGGAGCAAACAGG
rnacentral:rRNA from 1 species